rnacentral:rRNA from 1 species
GACGAACGCUGGCGGCGUGCUUAACACAUGCAAGUCGAACGAUGAACCCGGAGCUUGCUCCGGUGGAUUAGUGGCGAACGGGUGAGUAACACGUGAGUAACCUGCCCUUGACUCUGGGAUAACUGCGGGAAACUGUAGCUAAUACCGGAUACGACCCUCGGCGGCAUCGCCAGGGGGUGGAAAGAAUUUCGGUCAAGGAUGGACUCGCGGCCUAUCAGCUAGUUGGUGAGGAAACGGCUGACCAAGGCGACGACGGGUAGCCGGCCUGAGAGGGUAACCGGCCACACUGAGGCUGAGAUACGGCCCAGACUCCUACGGGAUGCAGCAGUGGGGAAUAUUGCACAAUGAGCGCAAGCCUGAUGCGGCUACGCCGCGUGAGUGAUGACGGCCUUCGGGUUGUAAACCUCUUUCAGCACAGACGAAGCGCAAGUUACGGUAUGUGCAGAAGAAGGACCGGCCAACUACGUGCCAGACGCCGCGGUAA